CCGUCACUCUCGCAAUCAGGGAAAGAAAAGGACAACAAGUGCUGUGUGACUCAUAUCAUAUCGGUGGUCACGAUACUACGAGCUGGAUUGGAUAUGGAUCUUGAUGAUCGAAAGCUCUGACCAGAUAAAUAGUGCAUUAUUCCGUCGGUGGUGGAAGGAGCCGCAGCAGCCGGAUGACGACGACGACGAGGAGACUGCAGGCCCGGCUCUUCCACUGGAUACCCCGCCGGUGAAAAAAGACAUUUAGACCCUGCUUGGAUUGGAUUGGAUUGCUGCAGGUGUUCUUUGCCAGGAGUAAAUCAGGAACUGGAAUUCUAACAAACAGGGCAACUUCAUCGCGUUUGUACAAUACCUGCUGCGCUGUUCUACCUCUAGUACUGCUACUCUGAACAGACAGAUGGAUGCAAUAAUCCUCCAAUGUUCAUCGAGUUCCAUUCUCGCAUUAUCUUCUUUCAUGUAAAAAUGUUCAUUCCAUUGCACGAUAUAUCCGCUUUGACACUUGACAAACGUAGUGCUACCAAUAAUACAGUUUUCCUCACACAAACCUGUUUUUAAAUCACAUCUUUUUUUUUCCGCCGACGGUAGGAACAAAACAUUACAGGAGCAAAGAGGAGUUAA